GAUGAAGAACGUAGUGAAAUGCGAUACGUAGUGUGAAUUGCAGAAUUCAGUGAAUCAUCGAAUCUUUGAACGCACAUUGCGCCCUUUGGUAUUCCAAAGGGCAUGCCUGUUCGAGCGUCAUUUGUACCCUCAAGCUUUGCUUGGUGUUGGGCGUCUUUUGUCUCCAGUUCGCUGGAGACUCGCCUUAAAGUCAUUGGCAGCCGGCCUACUGGUUUCGGAGCGCAGCACAAGUCGCGCUCUUAGCCAGCCAAGGUCAGCGUCCAGCAAGCCUUUUUUCAACCUUUGACCUCGGAUCAGGUAGGGAUACCCGCUGAACUUAAGCAUAUCAAUAAGCGGAGGA
rnacentral:misc_RNA from 1 species